rnacentral:misc_RNA from 1 species
AAGUCGUAAUAAGGUCUCCGUAGGUGAACCUGCGGAGGGAUCAUUACAGAGGUUCAUGCCCCUAACGGGUAGAUCUCCCACCCUAUGUUAUUAUUACUUUGUUGCUUUGGCGGGCCGUCAGGCUCAGCGCCCGGUACCGGCUCACGCUGGUAAGCGCCCGCCAGAGAACCCCCAAACCCUAGCAAUAUUAGUGUCGUCUGAGUACUAUAAUAAUAGUUUAAAA